rnacentral:rRNA from 1 species
GUGCCAGCAGCCGCGGUAAUACGGAGGGUGCAAACGUUGCUCGGAAUCAUUGGGCGUAAAGCGCACGUAGGCGGCUCGUUAAGUCGGGUGUGAAAGCCCUGGGCUCAACCCAGGAAGUGCAUUCGAAACUGGCGAGCUUGAAUAUGGAAGAGGGUCGCGGAAUUCCCGGUGUAGAGGUGAAAUUCGUAGAUAUCGGGAGGAACACCAGUGGCGAAGGCGGCGACCUGGGCCAAUAUUGACGCUGAGGUGCGAAAGCGUGGGGAGCAAACAGGAUUAGAAACCCGAGUAGUCC